AUGACAAGCCCCAGGCUGAAGCUCUUCGGCUUCCACUUCUCCUCGGCGGAGGAGAACCACACCACCAUGGACACGGCCGAGCACGAGGCGGCCGAGGCGGAGAAGGGCGGCUCCGACUCCUCCUCCUCGUCUACCACCACGACCACGGCCACGGCGGCGGCUGCGGCGGGCGGCGGGGGCGGCGAGGGGCGGAGGUACGAGUGCCAGUACUGCUGCCGCGAGUUCGCCAACUCGCAGGCGCUGGGCGGCCACCAGAACGCGCACAAGAAGGAGCGGCAGCAGCUCAAGCGCGCGCAGCUGCAGGCGGCCGCGGCCGCCGCGGGACGCGCGGCCGGGGGAGGCGCGCUGUACCAUCGGAGCGGCGGCAUGAACCCCAUGGUGUCCGCCUUCGCGCAGCCGCCACACCUCCUCGGCGGCGCCGGCGACGGCGGGACGGGGCCCACCAGCUGGGUCUACUUCUCCCCGCGCGCGGCCGCGGUGGCCGGGGGCGCCCAGGGCCAGCAGUUCCACGUCUCCCACGGCUGCGUCUUCCCCUCCGGCCGCGCCACCCCGGCCUCCGCCUCGCCGGCCGUGUUCUCCUACGCGCCGACGGCCUCCUCCGCGGCCCAGGCCGCCGCGGCGCCCUACGUCGUGCAGGCCGACGUGGUGGACCACCACGGCCGGAGGCUCCACGCCGCCAGCUUCCCGAGAUACCCCGGCAUGGUGAUGGCGCCGGAGCCGAUGGCCGCGGCGCCCGAGGACGCGCUGGGGCUGGACCUGCAGCUCAGCUUGUGA
rnacentral:rRNA from 1 species